rnacentral:rRNA from 1 species
CCUACGGGAGGCAGCAGUGAGGAAUAUUGGUCAAUGGACGAGCGUCUGAACCAGCCAAGUAGCGUGAAGGAUGACUGCCCUAUGGGUUGUAAACUUCUUUUAUAUGGGAAUAAAACGUUCCACGUGUGGGAUUUUGUAUGUACCAUAUGCAUAAGGAUCGGCUAACUCCGUGCCAGCAGCCGCGGUAAUACGGAGGAUCCGAGCGUUAUCCGGAUUUAUUGGGUUUAAAGGGAGCGUAGGUGGAUUGUUAAGUCAGUUGUGAAAGUUUGCGGCUCAACCGUAAAAUUGCAGUUGACACUGGCAGUCUUGAGUACAGUAGAGGUGAGCGGAAUUCGUGGUGUAGCGGUGAAAUGCCUAGAGAUCACGAAGAACUCCGAUUGCGAAGGCAGUUCACUGGACUGCAACUGACACUGAGGCUCGAAAGUGUGGGUAUCAAACAGGAUUAGAUACCCGUGUAGUC